GAUGAACGCUGGCGGCGUGCUUAACACAUGCAAGUCGAGCGAGUGAGUUCUUCGGAACGAUCUAGCGGCGGACGGGUGAGUAACACGCGGGCAACCUGCCUCAUAGAGGGGGAUAGCCUCCUGAAAGGGAGAUUAAUACCGCAUAAAAUUAUCGAGUGGCAUCACAUGAUAAUCAAAGGAGUAAUCCGCUAUGAGAUGGGCCCGCGGCGCAUUAGCUAGUUGGUGAGGUAACGGCUCACCAAGGCGACGAUGCGUAGCCGACCUGAGAGGGUGAUCGGCCACAUUGGGACUGAGACACGGCCCAGACUCCUACGGGAGGCAGCAGUGGGGAAUAUUGCACAGUGGGGGAAACCCUGAUGCAGCAACGCCGCGUGAGUGAUGAAGGUCUUCGGAUUGUAAAGCUCAGUCUUUGGGGACGAUAAUGACGGUACCCAAGGAGGAAGCCACGGCUAACUACGUGCCAGCAGCCGCCGUAA
rnacentral:rRNA from 1 species